GACGUAGGGCGCGAGCGUUGUCCGGAUUUAUUGGGCGUAAAGAGCUCGUAGGCGGCUUGUCGCGUCGUCUGUGAAAUCCCGCGGCUCAACUGCGGGUCUGCAGUCGAUACGGGCAGGCUAGAGUUCGGUAGGGGAGACUGGAAUUCCUGGUGUAGCGGUGAAAUGCGCAGAUAUCAGGAGGAACACCGGUGGCGAAGGCGGGUCUCUGGGCAGUAACUGACGCUGAGGAGCGAAAGCGUGGGGAGCGAACAGG
rnacentral:rRNA from 1 species